ACAAAAAGGUCCGUCCUAGGUUUAUUCUGUCUACACAACACAACAAUAGUACUCUCUCAGGUUCUUGUUCUUCUGACACCAAUACACUGCUUUCUCAACCUCGUACAAAAAUCUCCUUCGGUCAACACAAACAUGACUGUAUCAAAGAGGCUGGCGCGGAAGAAGGUGGCCAAGUUUGAGAAGAACAUCACGAGGAGAGGAGCGGGUCCUUUGUCAUCCAAGAAGCCUAGUUUUGAACCCGCACACAUUGUUCUUAUUCUCUUUGCAGUCUUGGUCGUCUCCUCAUUUAUCUUUCAGGUCGUGAGGAUGGCGCUUAAUGGUGGAAUACCCACAGAAAAUGAAGUUGACUCCUGAAAGGGCUGGCUUCUGGGAUGUGUUAUGAGAGUUCUAUUAUACCAUAUCAUCAGCUUACCUAGAAAAUGAAAUUACAGUACUUAUA